CCUACGGGAGGCAGCAGUGAGGAAUAUUGGUCAAUGGACGAGAGCCUGACCCAGCCACGCAGCGUGAAGGAAGAAUGCUUUCGGGUUUUUAACUUCUUUUUUCAUGGGCAUAGCAAGUGCCACUACCUGACGUAUAAACCUCGGCUAUCUACGUGCCAGCAGCCGCGGUAAUACGUAGGUGGCGAGCGUUAUCCGGAUUUAAUGGGUUUAAAGGGCGUGUAGGCGGGUAGGUAAGUCAGAUGUGAAAAUUAGGGGCUCAACCUGUUUCUUGCAUUUGAAACUGGCUGUCUUGAGUGCUGGAGAGGUGAGCGGAAUUCGGGGUGUAGCGGUGAAAUGCUUAGAUAUACGGAGGAACACCAGUGGCGAAGGCGGAUCGCUGGACAGCAACUGACGCUGAGGCGCGAAAGUGUGGGGAGCAAACAGGAUUAGAUACCCCUGUAGUC
rnacentral:rRNA from 1 species